rnacentral:rRNA from 1 species
AGUGAACGCUGGCGGUAGGCCUAACACAUGCAAGUCGAACGGCAGCACAGUAAGAGCUUGCUCUUACGGGUGGCGAGUGGCGGACGGGUGAGGAAUACAUCGGAAUCUACUUUUUCGUGGGGGAUAACGUAGGGAAACUUACGCUAAUACCGCAUACGACCUACGGGUGAAAGCAGGGGAUCUUCAGACCUUGCGCGAUUGAAUGAGCCGAUGUCGGAUUAGCUAGUUGGCGGGGUAAAGGCCCACCAAGGCGACGAUCCGUAGCUGGUCUGAGAGGAUGAUCAGCCACACUGGAACUGAGACACGGUCCAGACUCCUACGGGAGGCAGCAGUGGGGAAUAUUGGACAAUGGGCGCAAGCCUGAUCCAGCCAUACCGCGUGGGUGAAGAAGGCCUUCGGGUCGUAAAGCCCUUUUGUUGGGAAAGAAAAGCAGCAGGUUAAUACCCCGCUGUUCUGACGGUACCCAAAGAAUAAGCACCGGCUAACUUCGUG